rnacentral:rRNA from 1 species
UACGGAGGGUGCAAGCGUUAUCCGGAUUCACUGGGUUUAAAGGGUGCGUAGGAGGGCAGGUAAGUCAGUGGUGAAAUCUCCGAGCUUAACUUGGAAACUGCCGUUGAUACUAUCUGUCUUGAAUAUUGUGGAGGUGAGCGGAAUAUGUCAUGUAGCGGUGAAAUGCUUAGAUAUGACAUAGAACACCAAUUGCGAAGGCAGCUCGCUACACAUAUAUUGACGCUGAGACGCGAAAGCGUGGGGAGCAAACAGG